rnacentral:ncRNA from 1 species
UAAUACUAUAAUAUAUUUUCCUAUAUAUACUAGAAAUAUGGUCUGGUGUCUCUACAGUUAACCCUAAAUUAAUUAACUAUAGGUCUUAAUUUAUUUUUA